GAGGGCAGGGGCCUGGGGGCCCCCUAGUGCGGGCGGGGAGCGGGACCCGAUCUGCUGUCCUUCGCUCCCUUCUGCCUGGGGAUGCUGUCGGAUUCGCGGCCCGGGGUCACCCGGCCCUCAGUUCCCAAACAGGGUCUGUCUUCCUGCCGCCGACAUGGAGGCGGGCGGGGGUGCGGGGCGGCGGCGACCGGACGCGAGCGCGUAAGGAAAUGGAAGCGCACGUGCCAACGGUGGGAAGAGCGCUGCCCUAGACCCCCGGGUCCCUGCGCUCUCAGCUGUGUGCCUUGGGACAAGUCACUCCGCCACUCAGAAACUAGGCUCCAUCAAAGGAGGAAGAUUCCACCACCCCCACAAUGGGAGCCCAGGCAGCUGCUAAAGGUGAGACAGCCUGUGACAAGAUGGACUGGUGGCCCCUAAGGAAACCUCAGCCUCCUGAGGAAGCACCCCAAGCAGGAGCCGACAUCAGAGAACCACAAACAAGAUUGUAACUGUGUGAGAUGGGGGAACAGGCCUACAAGUAGGCCCUGGGAAGAAUGCGAGCCAAGAGCCUGAAUUGAUCUUCACACCUGGAUUUUCAAGCCAAGCCCUGCCCUGCUAGCCGUGGCUCCUCUGGGCCGCCCCUCCCAGCCCUGUCCUCCUGGACAGCAACCCCCGUUCCUCUUUCCCAGGCACAGAGAGGGACACUGAGCACACUGGCCCUGGGGGAACUGCUUUGUGCAAGUCGGAAGGGAGGAGGGUUGGUGGGUCAGGUGGCUUCCUCCCUCCAAAGUCAGAGGGUGGGGAGGUAAGGGGAGGGAACCUUUGCCACAUCUUGUCCUGAAUUUGGAGAAUGUGGGGCCAGAUUCCAAGCAGUCUCUGUGGUGACUGUGGGCAGGAAUGCAUCUGGAGCAGGAAGCCCAGCCAGCAGGAAUGCGGUGUCUCAGCACAAGCCUUUGUGUGGGCUCAAACCACACACACACACACACACACCCCAAGCACCCUCUCCAUGCAGAUGUGCACAGUUGGGGGGGCUCACCCCAUCUGCCCUCUGCUGCCCUGACUGCCAGCCCCAUGCCUGCUGGGCCAGGCAUUUACCCCCCUACCUCAGAGGGCCCUGAGGCCCCACAUGACCACCUCCACCGUCCUACUAGAGGAGAAUCUCCAACUUUUUAUUUUUAUUUUUUAGGGCUGCACCCAUGCAUAGAACCA